GAUGAACGCUGGCGGCGUGCCUAAUACAUGCAAGUCGAGCGGACAGACGAGACUUCUUGCUCUCUCUAACGUUAGCGGCGGGCGUGUGAGCUACACGUCGGUCACCUACCGAUAAGUAUCGUCUGACUUCGGGAACCCAUAGCUCAUACCGGCUGAUGUUGAGCUUCGCAUGUCUCAAUAGUGCACGAUGGCUGUGCUGUCUCUGGCGUAUUAGCUAGUUGGUGGGGUAAUGGCUUACCAAGGCAACGAUCCAUAACUGACCUGAGAGGAUGAUCAGCCACACUGGAACUGAGACACGGCCCAGACUCCUACGGGAGGCAGCAGUAGGGAAUAUUCCGCAAUGGACGAAAGUCUGACGGAGCAAUGCCGCGUGAGUGAAGAAGGUCUUCGGAUCGUAAAACUCUGUUGUAAGGGAAGAACAAGUACGUGAGUAAAUGAACGUAUCUUGACGGUACCUAAAGAGAAAGCCACGGCUAACUACGUG
rnacentral:rRNA from 1 species